rnacentral:rRNA from 1 species
AACGAACGCUGGCGGCAUGCCUAACACAUGCAAGUCGAACGAGACCUUCGGGUCUAGUGGCGCACGGGUGCGUAACGCGUGGGAACCUGCCUUUAGGUUCGGAAUAACUCAGAGAAAUUUGAGCUAAUACCGGAUGAUGUCUUCGGACCAAAGAUUUAUCGCCUUUUGAUGGGCCCGCGUUGGAUUAGCUAGUUGGUGGGGUAAAGGCCUACCAAGGCGACGAUCCAUAGCUGGUCUGAGAGGAUGAUCAGCCACACUGGGACUGAGACACGGCCCAGACUCCUACGGGAGGCAGCAGUGGGGAAUAUUGGACAAUGGGCGAAAGCCUGAUCCAGCAAUGCCGCGUGAGUGAUGAAGGCCUUAGGGUUGUAAAGCUCUUUUACCCGAGAUGAUAAUGACAGUAUCGGGAGAAUAAGCUCCGGCUAACUCCGUG